rnacentral:rRNA from 1 species
UACGUAGGGGGCAAGCGUUGUCCGGAAUCAUUGGGCGUAAAGAGCGUGUAGGCGGCCCGGUAAGUCCGCUGUGAAAGUCCAGGGCUCAACCCUGGGAUGCCGGUGGAUACUGUCGGGCUCGAGUCCGGAAGAGGAGUGUGGAAUUCCAGGUGUAGCGGUGAAAUGCGCAGAUAUCAGGAAGAACACCAAUGGCGAAGGCAGCUCUCUGGGACGGUACUGACGCUGAGACGCGAAAGCGUGGGGAGCGAACAGG